rnacentral:rRNA from 1 species
CGCGUAGGCGGGCGGCCAAGUCAGGGGUGAAAGCCUCCAGCUCAACUGGAGAAGUGCCUUUGAUACUGGCCAUCUUGAGGGAGGUAGGGGCGUGCGGAACUUCCGGUGGAGCGGUGAAAUGCGUAGAUAUCGGAAGGAACACCGGUGGCGAAAGCGGCGCGCUGGACCUCUUCUGACGCUGAGGCGCGAAAGCCAGGGAGCAAAACG